GUUGUCUUGGAUGACAAGCACGUGACGUUAAAGGAAACAGGAAGUGGAGUGGAAAGCGCAGCUUGCAGAGAUAUCCACUGCGUUAAAAAAUUGCUCAAGUGAAUGGCAAAAUAAAGAAUGAAAAGUACUAUAACUAUGUGCUCGAAACAGAACAGAGGACGAUUCCAACAUCGUAAAUGGUGUGGAUUGCGUGGUUGGUGAAAUGCUGGUGGUUGACAGGAUGUGAACGACAUCAAAGAAGCUUGCGUCAGAGAAAAACAUGGCACCUACGAUGAUCAGCCAAGAGGACUCUGAAGGCAGAGCAUCUAUCAACGCCUGAUAGCUGAUCUGCAGACUGGAGACCCAGCAGGCUUGCGAUUGUUGAAGGAAGACACGGCAAUUGAAAUGACUCCCUGAUUUCAAUGGAUAAGAAGUUAAGUGGAGAGUCAACUGGAAGAUUGGUGAGGAACACAGGCAGGGGAGGAUCUAAGAGGAAAGGACCAACUUCUGCAGUGGCCAGGAUGUCAAUGACAG